GGUGCGGGGCAUUCCGCCCAGCACCACCUGGUUUAAUUGCCACCUGGUUUAAUUGCCGCCCCACGUAAUUACGGACAAGGUAGCUCAGCUGUGGUUGGUUGUGAGGUCCUGAUUGGAAGGGCUUCUAAAGAGAGAGCAGGGAUAAAAGAGGGUCGUUUGGCCUCAGCUGAUUUCUUCUGCUCCCAUUUUCUUCUCAGCCUCUCUAACAGGGAGCCCUUGGACUGCAAACUUGGUUUGAGCAGGGCUGUUAUUUACACGUUCUGCUUUUGUAGGUAGCUUUAUGUUUUUAAUUACACCUCAGAGCAUCUGAAUUGUUCUGCUAUUCCUAAGAGUUUCCUUGAGUGCUAAUUAGAUUGAAACCUUUGGUGCAAUCAAUAGAUUCUCAUCUCGGUACUGACCAAGCCAGUCCCAAACAGUAAUUUACAGCUCUGGUUGUUAUGAAAUCAAUACAGAUUUGCUUUUCAUUGAGAGGACUGUAAAGCAUGGGUGACAGCCGGCGUGGUAAGCAGCUGGUGUGGAAAUGGAUCCCUUGCUGGUGUUGGAGAGUGGCCAGAGAGCUUCAGAGAGGAGAAGCUUUGGGAGCAGAGCACGCCUCUUCCACCUGCUGGGCUGAGGAUGCUGAUGGAGCGCUGGGCUCCUGCCCUUCUACUGAGCAGGAGGGUUGCACUGGAUCCUGAGCCACCCCAUGUCCAGCUGUAGGGCAGCGCCUGUGGUGCUGAGUUACCUCAUAGCAGCUUGUUGUGACAAAUCCCAGCAAGCAAUCUCCUUCCAGAAACCGUCGAAGCAAAAAAGAUGUCAUCUUGAUUACACCAAACCCAGAGAAGAAAAGCUUGGGGCAGCGGAAAGCCAAAAGGAGGGAUUGUUGUUGGGUCAAAGGGAAGCGCCACUGAGAGAAGCAUUCAGGUUUAUGGGUGGGGAGGGCUGAAACUGAGAGCCUCAGCUUCAGAGGAGCCUCAGAAAUUCGUGGGUGUCUCUGUCGAUUGCUUUGUCCCUGGGGUGAGGGUCAGUGUGAUUAAUUAGCAGCAGGGCUGAACAGCUGAUCGCUAUCUGCCUGAUAAGAGCCCUGCCAUGGAAACCCUGAUUGUUGCAGGAGAGGUCUCAAUAGCCUCAGUGAAUUGCUUUGGGGCUGUUUGUCCUGCCAGUAAGAGAAAGAAUUUCCUUUUUAAAAUCCAAAUCAGAGAUGCUGAAGGACUCCUGCGUGGCUAUGGGAGGCAAGGGGGACUUUGGGGAUGCAGUAACACCUGCAGGGCUAUGGGCUUGAUCCGUAGAUGGACUUGAAGCAGUUCUGUCACCUGGAGUCCUCACCGUUGCCCACCCUCAGUGCCCACCAGGAUAACAAUGAGUUCUUUGGGACCAAGCCAAGCAUUGGCAUGGGCUGCCCAGGGAGGUAGUGGGGUCUCCAUCCAUGGAGGUGUUGGAGGAACGUGGGGAUGUGGCACUGAUGGACGCGGUUAGUGGGCAUGGGGUGGGUGGGUUGGGGUUGGAAGUGUUGUUGUUAGUAGGCUUUAUGAUUCUGUGCGUGGGCAUGGUAGUGAUGGGUUGAUGGCUGGACUUGAUAGUUUUAGUGGUCUUUUCCAAGCUUAAUGAUUCCAUGAUGCUUGAGGGCUGCUGCGAGGUGACAGCAUGCAGGACAUGUCCUCAUGCACAUCCUCUGUGCUGUCCUCUGUGUGUCCUGCGCAUGGGAUACACGCCAGGGGAAGGAGCUCUGUUCUUGUCCUCUCCCUCCUCCUGCUCCUCUCCCCAUCUGGCCACGCGGCUCUGAGAAAGGAAACAACCACCCCAGUGCGUCAGAUUGUUCUUUGGUGAAUGGUUUAAGCCGAAUCGUCUGGAACAACGUCUGGAAAAAAGGGAACGGCAUUUCCCACAGCAGCAGCUUUUAAAUAUUAGUGAAUAUGGAGCCAAGUGUGAAUAAUUCAUUCAAAGAGAGACAUGAGCUCAGUUUUCUUAUGCAACGGGCGGGCGAAGAGUUGGAUUUGAUUCAGAGCGGUAAGAAAUGACAGCAGGGGGGUGACAGCACCCAUAUAGCAGCUCUUCCUCCUGCACCUUCCUGCUGGGUUCUGACAGCCCUUGAGAACUGGUGUCCCCAUCGUUUAUUGCCUUGGAUUUGGGCUCCCUGGGCCAAAGUGGAAGCAGAGGAUAAAGGAAAACAGCACCCUAUGAGACGGUCCUGAUCCAGCGGUGCACAGCUGGAUGCCGCUGGGUGUGGGCUGCUGCGCUUCUUCGCUGCUCAGCACUGGAGCCUCUCUCUUAUUGAUUGCUUCCGUUUUCCAGCCCGCGUUGACAUGAUAAUAUUUGGCAGCAACAUUAAUGCUGAAAUAUGAGCCGCGCUUGGGCCUUUUUAUUUUUAAUCGCUUGAAAAAUGACCCGGGGAAGGCACUCGUGCCCUCGCAAUCUCUGUAAUUGGCUGGUGGUGCUGUGUGGGGAAUGAUGCUUCGACCCACCCGUGACCCAUCCCGUAGCCGCAGGGUGACCCAGGGCGCUGCGGAGCUUCCCAUGCCUGCAGCAGAUGGGGACUGGAAGGCUGGCCAGCGUCCUCCCUAGGGACAACGGGAGCGUGAAGGACAGGGCUGGAGUGCUCUUGGCACUGGGCUCAUUUAAUCUCCAAAUGGCAGGGGAGAGGGACGCGGCGGUCACCUUGGCCACCUGCCAUAUGGCCGUCCUUCGCACCCGGAGUGACCCAAUUAAACCCAUCCUCCUUGUACCCAUCUCCCUGUGCUGCCUCCUGCCCUGACAGCUCUCCUUACCCUCACCAGCAGAGCAGCUCUUUCCAUCCACUUCAUGGGGGAUGUCAAUGGACGGGCCCAGGCUGAGGUGCAGCCUUCCUCCCCUUCCCAUGUACUUCAGCAGCAUCACCCUGCCUAUCUUCAGCAUCCAUGCCUAUGUUGGAGCAACACGUGCUCAGCACUUAGGCAAUUUGGCCAAUGAGCAACUCAGACAGGACCCUAGAUGCUUGUCUAGAUUGAUUGUCAGACCUUUUGUGCCAUCCAUCAUGCCAGGAUCCCAGUAGGGCCCAGUGGAUCCCUUCUGUGCCAUCCAUCAUGGCAGCAUCCCAAUAAAUGGGUGGCUGGGACCACAGGGCUGGUGGUAUGGUACGUGCUGAGAUGCCACCAAGGCCACCUGAUGGCUGCCACUUGCAAUGUCCCCACAGUGGCUUUUCUCCUCUACAGCUCCUGCUGCAGGGCUGAGGCUCUUUGGUGUGAGUCCCCUCCCCCCGCCAGCUUUUAGCAGAUGCCUAUCAGGGUGAGGUGCAGCAGCUGCUGCCCUGGAUUUGUCGCUUCUGGAAUCGGGACACAGCUCUGGGAGCUCCAAAAACCAUCAGCUCAGUCCUUCCCCUGGCUGUGCUCAGAGCCCUCACCGGCUCCAUCAGCACACAGCCCUGCUGCGGCUGAAUAAUUCAGUGCUCUGCAGCAGCUCUGGGCCUGCUGAGCCUGCAGCACCGCUGGAGAAUGCCAACAAGGCGGGUGCUGCAGAGCAGCAGCAGCAGCAGCCAGCCACCGUUUGGGCUCAGAAAGCUGAAAAUUGAAUUCUUCUCCCUGCAGCCAAGCAAUGGACCAGAAUGCAGUGCUGGCAAGGCAAAUCUGCUCUGGAGAGACAUGGGGACACGUGGUGAUGUCAGGGCAAGGAGCACCCUGAGGGCUGGCAGGUCUCUGGCUACUGUUCAGUGCAGGAUGUGCAAUGAUGCUGGAUGAGAACUGGAAGCACCCUGGGUGCUCCCUGCAGCAUCCUUUGCCUCCCCUUGCCUUGUCCUGGGUGGUGGCUUUGUCAUCCCAUCAGGACAAGGGACAGCUGGGGACAUCACUGAAGGUGGGACACUUUUGUUAAGCUGCUUAGCUUAGAGUGUGGAGCACCAGGACAAUGUUCCAGUGCUAGUUAGGGGCCAUUGAGGCCAGAAGGGAAAUGAGGAAGUGGUUUUGGGACUGAAAAUAUAGGCAUGUGGAGAGGAUUUGCUGCCAAUGAACACACUGAGGCUGUUUUUGGCUGAACUUUGUUUUUCCCAGACAGGUUUUACCUUGCCCUGAGUGCAAGGCUUGCAUGCAAAUGGGAUGGAGCAAAAGGGCUGAAUCAUCCCCAAAAUGUAUGCUGGGGCCCUCAGCCCUGGCCAUGGCCCCAGGACUGGGGGCACAUCAGUGAGAGCAGCAGCAUCCUUUCUCCAGAGUGCCCUCACCACCUUCCAUCCCAGGAGCCAGCACUCCUCAAGUGGAGACCCAGGCUGAGGCUGCAUCUUGGCCAUCAUCUUGACCAUCAAUCGAUGGUUACCUUGGCCAUCAACUUGGCGACCAUUUUGGCCAUCGUCUUGUCCAUCAUAAUGACCCAAAGCUGCAGUGGUGACCCUGCUGCCUGCUUUCCAUCACUGCUGUCUCCUCAUUCCAAUUGCUGCUUCUGAUGGGGUGCAGAUGCCCUCAGCUUGCUACUUGCCUCCCCACCAAGCUGGAGCUUCCUCACGAGGCUGCAGGAAGCGUGACGGCGCUGCAAGGAAUUCAAAUCACUUUGCUGUGCAAAUCAACAGCCAGCAGAAGUAAGGCUGGGGGAGAAGUAUUCCCAUUUAUGUACAGAAAUUGUGCUAACCAAGCAGGUUUUGACAAGGAGCUAUGAACAUGCAGAGGGAAGAGAAAUGCCGACGGCAUUAAUGUUUGUGUCUUCUUGCAACUUUUAUGUCUGACUCAGAAUUAACUUUUGAGCUGGAAAAGCACUAACUUCUGAUAAUUAAGCCCAAAAUACAUUGGUCUCAACGUUAGGUGUCACCCACACACAUAUGUUCAGUCCCCAGCCCUAUUAUUUUAAAUUGAUGCAAUUAUUCAUCUUGCAGAGUAAUAUAUUUCUUGUUCUCUGGUGCCCAGUAGAGCUUAAAGCAGAACAAAUGCUUUAAUAAAAUCGAGGUGGUGCUUCCUGGAAGCCACAGUGCUGGGUUAUUAAGGACUGUAGUGUGAGGAGCAGGUUUGGGAAUCUUUAAUAACUUAUUGCCUAAUAUUUCUUCCUUGCAACGUAUUUAUGCGAUUAGUAAACGUUUUCUGUUCACUGAUUAACUUUGUUUAUUUCUUAAUUAGGUUUAGCGCUGUCUAUCUUUGUGGUUGCAAAAUAAUGGUUUGAUUAAUGUGCCUGAAUUUACAUUUUCAUUAAGCCCCUGCAUCGGUUCUGUACCAAUUAGCUGCGCCGUAAUAUGCAGAUCUGGGACAUUAGAAUUACAGUUUUAGCCCAUUAGGUAAUAACUGUUAUAUUGAUUGGUGAUAAUGGAGCGCAG
ensembl:lncRNA